rnacentral:misc_RNA from 1 species
GAUGAAGAACGUAGCGAAAUGCGAUAAGUAAUGUGAAUUGCAGAAUUCAGUGAAUCAUCGAAUCUUUGAACGCACAUUGCGCCCGCCAGCAUUCUGGCGGGCAUGCCUGUUCGAGCGUCAUUUCAACCCUCGAGCCCCCCCGGGGGCCUCGUUGUUGGGGGACGGCACACCAGCCGCCCCCGAAAUGCAGUGGCGACCCCGCCGCAGCCUCCCCUGCGUAGUAGCACACACCUCGCACCGGAGCGCGGAGGCGGUCACGCCGUAAAACGCCCAACUUUCUUAGAGUUGACCUCGGAUCAGGUAGGAAUACCCGCUGAACUUAAGCAUAUCAAUAAGCGGAGGA